GAGGGAGGUGGGGAGUCCCUCAUCCCAGAUUGCGAGCAGAUGCAGGCCAGGCCGAGGGACCCCACCAGUGCAUG
rnacentral:pre_miRNA from 1 species